CGACCUCUGAUCGGAAAAGAAAACCCGCCGAGUUAAAGCAUAUCACUAAGCGGAGGAAAAGAAACUAACGAGGAUUUCCCUA
rnacentral:rRNA from 1 species